rnacentral:rRNA from 1 species
GACGAACGCUGGCGGCGUGCUUAACACAUGCAAGUCGAACGGAAAGGCCCUGCUUUUGUGGGGUGCUCGAGUGGCGAACGGGUGAGUAACACGUGAGUAACCUGCCCUUGACUUUGGGAUAACUUCAGGAAACUGGGGCUAAUACCGGAUAGGAGCUCCUGCUGCAUGGUGGGGGUUGGAAAGUUUCGGCGGUUGGGGAUGGACUCGCGGCUUAUCAGCUUGUUGGUGGGGUAGUGGCUUACCAAGGCUUUGACGGGUAGCCGGCCUGAGAGGGUGACCGGCCACAUUGGGCCUGAGAUACGGCCCAGACUCCUACGAGAGGCAGCAGUGGGGAGUAUUGCACAAUGGGCGGAAGCAUGAUGCAGCAACGCCGCGUGCGGGAUAACGGCCUUCGGGUUGUAAACCGCUUUCGCCUGUGACGAAGCGUGAGUGACGGUAAUGGGUAAAGAAGCACCGGCUAACUACGUG